GGAGGGUGCAAGCGUUAUCCGGAUUCACUGGGUUUAAAGGGUGCGUAGGUGGGUAGGUAAGUCCGUGGUGAAAUCCUGCAGCUUAACUGCAGAACUGCCGUGGAUACUAUCUCUCUUGAAUACCGUGGAGGUCAGCGGAAUAUGUCAUGUAGCGGUGAAAUGCUUAGAUAUGACAUAGAACACCAAUUGCGAAGGCAGCUGGCUACACGAAUAUUGACACUGAGGCACGAAAGCGUGGGGAUCAAACAGGAUUAGAUACCCUGGUAGUCCACGCCCUAAACUAUGGAUACUCGACAUACGCGAUACACUGUGUGUGUCUGAGCGAAAGCAUUAAGUAUCCCACCUGGGAAGUACGAUCGCAAGAUUGAA
rnacentral:rRNA from 1 species